rnacentral:tRNA from 2 species
GCCCGGAUAGCUCAGUUGGAAGAGCAUCAGACUUUUAAUCUGAGGGUUCAGGGUUCAAGUCCCUGUUCAGGCG